rnacentral:ncRNA from 2 species
ACGCAUGCGCACCGUGCGGGUGCGCGCUGCGGGGGAGCGGAGAAACGGGAAGACCGGUGCGGAUUCGUCCAAAGCCGGCGCUGCCCCCGCAACGGUAAUCGAGAUCACGCGGAUCACAUCCGCCACUGCACCGGAACCAACGGUGCGGGAAGGCGAUCCGCCGGAGAGUCUGCUCCAGCUCGAGAGCCCGGAGACCGGCCUGACGCGCUUACCGAUG